AUGUUGACGUCAGCAUUUAACUGCACGCAAUUCACUGUACCAUAUCCAGAGCCAGGUACCGAUGAAGCUGGGAAUAGUACGAUUCCAUGGUUGAUGACUACCGUUGUAAAAGCAUACCGGCCGUUUCACUACUAUAUAUUCACUUCCUUAGUUGUUUUGCAUUUUUUGCAAAUAUUAUGAUUGUGAAAGUUCUUUCCCACAAAGAAAUGAUUCGUUCUGGUGUGAAUGUUACUAUGUUGCUUAUUGCGGUUUGUGAUUUUGGAUGUUCAAUUGCAGAAUUAUUAAAACUGUUCUUGUGGAGCUACUCAGAUAAAUAUAUUUCAUACCCAACUGCUUAUGGGCGGCUAGUUAUUUACUAUUUAGCCGCAGCAUUCCAUGCGUCUUCCUUAUAUCUUGCUGUUGGAAUGGCGUUCUGCAGAGUCAAAUCUUUAAACUUUGCAAAUAGAAACAAUGAUCUUUGGCAAUCACCUAAUUAUGCAGUACGAGUUGCUUGUGCUUUGUGCGCACCUGUCUUCCUAAUCACCACCUUUAUUCUUUUCAUGAACGUUGUGAAAAACACCGAGGAAGAAGGAAUUCAUCUAGAUAUUUCUGAUUUAUCGUUGUUCAGUGAAUGCUUGUUUCUGAAAAUUUAUUUCAUAGCUAGAAAUACAAUUUUUCCGAUUGCUCCUUGUGUCCUAAUGCUAAUAUUGUCGUUUACCCUUUUGAAAAAAUUUGACGAGGGAAAACGCAGUGCACAAAACGCAGCAGCAAGCCAAAAAGGGAAAAAAGAUAAAAUCGACCGCUCAUCUAGGUUCAUCCAAUUUGUUCUAGUGAUAUUUUUAAUCACUGAGUCACCACAAGGAGUUUUCAAAAUUCUUAGUGGCAUUAUGAUGAUAGAUUACAUAAACUAUUUUCAAAACUUAACAAUUUUUAUAAAUAUUUUGGCAUUCUUCAACAGCACCACAAGUUUUAUCAUUUAUAGCUCGUUAUCUGCUAAAUUUAGAAAAAUUUUUGCUCAACUUUUUUUUCCAACCCAUAUUUUGGAAACAAUCUAUUUGAAGCGAAGCACGAAUGUGGUUCAUUCAGUUGCACACGCUUCGCGACCAUUUUGA